GCAGCGCAGAGCACUCUGGGAGCUGUAGUCCUCCCCGGGGCGCGACGGGAUGUGUAGUUCCGGAGGAAGAGCCAAGAGGGGCGGGAGGGCUCUCCCUCAGCGCCGGGAGGUGCCCUGGGAAGGGCGGGCUGCGGAUCUCCAGCCGCCUCUCCCGGGACAAGGGACAAGGGCAGCCUGAAGUGGCUGUGGGAAAGCCUGCCCGCCCACCCGAGCGGCCAAGCCUCAGGCCUGCGCUCAGCCCUGCACGGCUUAGGCAGUGCUUGAUGUUGUUCCCAGCUCAUGCCUUCCACAGCUGUGAAAGAACAGGCAAAAUGAGCUGGCCAGGCACAAAAAGGCAAGAAUAUCUAUAAACUUAUAUCCAUAACGCAUAUAAAGAAUGUGAAAAAUGCGUAUUUUAUGAUUGGCUUUUCGCAAAUAUUAAAGUGAAUAUUAUAUGUGUCAUGUUAGAAAGUUAUGCUGUGUUAAUUUUCUUAAGUAGUGUGUUAAAUAUAGUUUUAGGUUAUAACAUAGUGUUAAAAUAGAAACUAUGCUAUGUAAGAUACUUUUUUUAAGAGAGGACUCGCACGAAGAUAGCAGCCAGAGGACACCUUAAUCUUUCAGAGAAAAGGAAUUUAUUGCUCUCUUAUCGUGUUCUUUCCGCCUCGCUCAGCCCUGAAGCCGCCGUCAGGAUUAAGAAGAAGAAGAUGACACUGACCAGACAGAAUCCUUUGUUUAAAUGGAAUUUAUGCAUCAUGUAUGAGUCUGUCUGGGCGUGCUCCCAGUGGCAAUGCUGAUACUCUGCAGCAUCUGUCCCUGGAUUCCGAGCGUGGCAUUUCCUCUGCGCCCAGAACAAUGAGGAAAGUGAGAGGAAAUACGAACGAACUCCCUGCGUGACACGGAAAGAAGAGGAAACCUGAAACAAUUCAUGGGCAGGAGUCAAAAUGAAACUGCUGCAUCCCACUGUGCUCAGGAGCAGUGAUAAAUUAAAACAAAAAAGAGAAAAAAAAACCCCAAA